rnacentral:rRNA from 1 species
UACGGAGGGUGCAAGCGUUAUCCGGAUUCACUGGGUUUAAAGGGUGCGUAGGUGGGUCUGUAAGUCAGUGGUGAAAUCUCCGUGCUUAACAUGGAAACUGCCAUUGAUACUAUAGGUCUUGAAUUAUCUGGAGGUUAGCGGAAUAUGUCAUGUAGCGGUGAAAUGCUUAGAUAUGACAUAGAACACCAAUUGCGAAGGCAGCUGGCUACACAUAUAUUGACACUGAGGCACGAAAGCGUGGGGAUCAAACAGG